rnacentral:rRNA from 1 species
UGGGGAAUUUUGGACAAUGGGCGCAAGCCUGAUCCAGCCAUGCCGCGUGCAGGAUGAAGGCCUUCGGGUUGUAAACUGCUUUUGUACGGAACGAAAAGGUGCCUUCUAAUAAAGGGCGCUCAUGACGGUACCGUAAGAAUAAGCACCGGCUAACUACGUGCCAGCAGCCGCGGUAAUACGUAGGGUGCGAGCGUUAAUUGGAAUUACUGGGCGUAAAGCGUGCGCAGGCGGUUUUGUAAGACAGAUGUGAAAUCCCCGGGCUUAACCUGGGAACUGCGUUUGUGACUGCAAGGCUGGAGUACGGCAGAGGGGGGUGGAAUUCCACGUGUAGCAGUGAAAUGCGUAGAGAUGUGGAGGAACACCGAUGGCGAAGGCAGCCCCCUGGGCCUGUACUGACGCUCAUGCACGAAAGCGUGGGGAGCAAACA